AACGAACGCUGGCGGCAGGCUUAACACAUGCAAGUCGAACGCAUCCUUCGGGGUGAGUGGCAGACGGGUGAGUAACGCGUGGGAACGUGCCCUUCAGUUCGGGAUAACCCAGGGAAACUUGGGCUAAUACCGGAUACGUGCGAGAGCAGAAAGAUUUAUCGCUGAAGGAUCGGCCGGCGUCUGAUUAGUUAGUUGGUGAGGUAAGGGCUCACCAAGGCGACGAUCAGUAGCUGGUCUGAGAGGAUGAUCAGCAACACUGGGACUGAGACACGGCCCAGACUACUACGGGAGGCAGCAGUGGGGAAUAUUGGACAAUGGGCGCAAGCCUGAUCCAGCCAUGCCGCGUGAGUGAUGAAGGCCUUAGGGUUGUAAAGCUCUUUCGGCGGGGACGAUAAUGACGGUACCCGCAGAAGAAGCCCCGGCUAACUUCGUGCCAGCCGCCGUAACAC
rnacentral:rRNA from 1 species